AUUUAGAUAAAUGUCACCAGUUUCUGUGAAUACUCUUUUAUAUCAAAGAUAGGCCAUUGUCCCCACGAGGAGCGAGGACCCCAGUUUGAUUAAACCCCGGUUGUGGCAGUGGCAUGGCCAUGGCGUCGGCGGAUGUUGAUGGUUGAGAUUAUCAAGUGGCAAAGGAAAAGGAGUGAAAGCUGGCUGGUUUUAUAGUGCGCAGUGCGCAUCCUCCAUUAAAGUCGUUCCCCCUUGGGCAAACCAAAGCAGCGGCUGGCCUUUGUCCGUGAUCCCUGAGGCACCGACCUUUUUUUUUUUAGAAAAUGAGGCAUUUUCUUGCUGAAGAAUUAAGCACUUACUUUUGCCGCCAGAUCUUAGCUCGUGCCUAGGGUUUUCUCCAUUACAUCCUACUCUUUUUUUCUUUUUUAAAAUGCACGGCCUAAGCCGCCUCGGGACCGGUAGUAACCGUUCGGUCUCCCCUUCCCCGCCUUCCUCGCCGCGGUUCCGCCAUGGCCGUUACAAGAACUUUAGUGGAGCUGGAGGAGGUGCGGGUGGUGGACGUGGCGGGAAGCAGAGCGCGGCGGAUAGGAUAGUGUUUGUGUUGAUAUCGACAGUGUUUCGAAGAAAAGGCGUGCUUCUGUUUGCGCCCUUGUUGUACAUUUCGGGAAUGCUGUUGUUCAUGGGCACGUUAGGUUUCGAUGUUGUGAGUUUGAAAAAUGCGGUUGUUGUUGUCCACAAGCGAUCGCCACCAGGGUCGGUUUAUCGGAGUCCUCAGGUUUUUCAGAAUCUUUGGCCGUUUAUGGAGGCUGAGCGCAAUGCCAGUUACAAUGCGUUGAUGACAGCGUGGAAUCUGAAAAUUCAUCAAGGAUGGAAGCCAUGUGCCAGCUCUAUUAUCUCUAGAACAGGUUUUUCAGAGUUGCCAAAGUCUAACGGUUUCCUUAUAAUUGAAGCAAAUGGUGGCUUAAAUCAACAACGCUUAUCGAUAUGUGAUGCAGUGGCAGUGGCGUGGCUGCUAAAUGCAACUCUUCUCAUUCCCAUCUUUCACUUAAACAGUGUUUGGCGAGAUUCCAGCAAGUUUGGAGAUAUAUUUGAUGAAGAAUUCUUCGUACAUGCUCUUAAAAAUCAUGUGAAUGUGGUCAGAGAGCUCCCAGAAGAUGUACUUCAAAGGUUUGACAGUAACAUCAGCAAUAUUGUUAAUUUGAGAGUAAAAGGUUGGUCAAGUCCAGCCCAUUAUCUUCAGAAGGUUCUUCCAAAACUAGAGGCAAUGGGGGCUGUUCGCAUUGCACCCUUUUCUAACCGGUUGGCAUAUUCAGUUUCUUCAAACAUACAAGGGCUUAGGUGCUUAUCCAAUUUUGAAGCACUGAGGUUUUCUGAUCCUAUAAGGAUGCUUGCUGAUAAAAUGGUUGAGAGGAUGGUCAAGAAUAGCUCCCAUAGUGGAGGAAAAUAUGUUUCAGUGCAUCUUCGGUUUGAAAUGGACAUGGUUGCAUUUUCAUGCUGUGAAUAUGAUGGUGGGGAAGAAGAGAGACAUGAGAUGGAUAUUGCUCGAGAAAGAAGUUGGAGAGGAAAAUUUAGGCGAAGGGGCAGAGUUAUAAGGCCAGGUGUAAAUCGUAUGGAUGGAAAAUGCCCUUUAACUCCUUUGGAGGUCGGAAUGAUGCUUAGGGGCAUGGGUUUCGAUAAUAAUACAUCAGUAUUUGUCGCAGCAGGAAAUAUUUACAAAGCAGAAAAAUACAUGGCUCCACUUAAACAGAUGUUUCCGCGUUUAGAAACAAAAGAUACGCUGGCUACUCCAGAGGAACUUGCUCCAUUCAAGGGCCACUCGUCGAGGUUAGCUGCACUUGACUACACGGUUUGCCUUCACAGCGAAGUAUUUGUCACAACACAAGGUGGAAACUUUCCCCACUUCUUAAUGGGUCACCGACGCUAUCUAUAUGCAGGACAUGCGAAAACAAUUAAGCCUGACAAGAGGAAAUUAGCACUGCUUUUUGAUAACCCUCAUAUUAGAUGGGAAACCUUCAAACGGCAGAUGAGAGAUAUGCUUCGGCACAGUGAUGGGAAGGGAGGUGAAGUGAAGAAAGCAAGUGGUUCAGUGUACACAUUUCCCAUGCCAGAUUGCAUGUGUAAACAAACAGAAGAAGAAAAAGAAAGGAAUGAAAACAGUAACACAACAAAACUUAGUUAUUGAACAGCCAGUAGCCCUAGGUUAAGAUUUUUCCACACAACCUGUAAUUCAUAAUUGUAUCAAGCAAUUGAGUUCAAAGAGUAAUUCUUUUGAUUUGUUUAGGUUAAUAGUUUCAGGUGUUCAUUCUUUUGAGAUUCAGCUCUUCACCAUAAUUUAUCACACUGUAAAAUUUGUUGUAUAUGAUAGUAUAACAGGUUAUUGGAGUUUCAAGUAAUGUGAGUUAGAUCAUAUCAAGCAAGAAAAAGAUGUAAAAGAAUCAAGACCAAUGGCAGGCUUUGAAUCCAUCCAUCCAUCCAUCCAACCAUUUUUUGGUACAAGAAACAAGGCAAACAGAACAUGGGAGGAUCAUGAAAAUACUUGGAU